rnacentral:rRNA from 1 species
GAAAGUAAGAAAGGGCGUAUGGCGGAUGCCUAGGCUCACGGAGGCGAUGAAGGACGUGAUAAGCUGCGAUAAGCUUCGGGUAGGUGCAAAUAACCCUUGAUCCGAAGAUUUCCGAAUGGGACAACCUAGCCGUCUGAAGGACGGUUACUCUUACCAAUGUAAGAGAGCUAACGCAGGGAACUGAAACAUCUUAGUACCUGCAGGAAGAGAAAAUAAAUGAAUGAUUCCCCCAGUAGUGGCGAGCGAACGGGGAACAGCCCAAACCAGUGGCGUCGCAAGGCGUGGCUGGGGUUGUAGGACCGCGACAUUGUACUGAAAUGGUGAGUGGAAGUAUCUGGAAAGUUACAUCACAGAAGGUGAUAAUCCUGUACACGAAGCCAGAUCAGGCAUAGCGGUAUCCUGAGUAACGCGGGACACGAGGAAUCCUGCGCGAAUCUGCCGGGACCAUCCGGUAAGGCUAAAUACUCCCGUGAGACCGAUAGCGAACGAGUACUGUGAAGGAAAGGUGAAAAGAACCCCGAGCAGGGGAGUGAAAUAGUUCCUGAAACCAUACGCCUACAAGCGGUCGGAGCAUCGCAAGAUGUGACGGCGUGCCUUUUGCAUAAUGAUCCUACGAGUUACCGUCACUGGCGAGGUUGAGUGUCAUGAGACACGUAGCCGCAGUGAAAGCGAGCCUGAAUAGGGCGCACAGUCAGUGGGGGUAGACGCGAAACCAAGUGAUCUACACUUGGCCAGGAUGAAGUCCCGGUAACACGGGAUGGAGGUCCGCACCAAUAAGCGUUGAAAAGCUUCUGGAUGAGCCGAGUGUAGGAGUGAAAGGCCAAUCAAACUUGGAGAUAGCUCGUACUCCCCGAAAGGCAUUUAGGUGCCGCGUCGGAUGGUCACCGUGAGAGGUAGAGCGACCGAUAGGACAAGAGGGCUUCACCGCCUAUCGAGUCCUGACGAACUCCGAAUGCUCACGGUCUGCAGUCCGGCAGUAAGGGGGCGGGUGCUAAGGUCCGUCCCCGAGAGGAGAAGAAUCCAGACCGCCGUCUAAGGUCCCGGAGUUCUGCCUGAGUUAGUCUAACGAAGUCUGGUCCCUAUGACAGCUAGGAUGUUGGCUUGGAAGCAGCCAUUCAUUCAAAGAGUGCGUAACAGCUCACUAGUCGAGGGUCCGGGCAUGGAUAAUAAUCGGGUAUAAGGCAGACACCGAAGGCGCGGGAUAGCAAUUAUAAAAGUAUCGGUAGGGGAGCAUACUCACAGCGUCGAAUGGUGUACGUAAGUUAUCCUGGAGCGGUGAGUAAAGCAAAUGUAGGAAUAAGUAACGAUAAGGAGGGUUAGAUUCCCUCCCGCUGUAAGACCAAGGUUUCCCGGGCAAUGCCAAUCAGCCCGGGGUCAGUCGGGUCCUAAGUCUAAGCCGAACGGCGAUGGCGAUGGCAGAGACGGUUAAUAUUCCGUCACUGCCGCAUGGGGCGAUGUGGAGACGGAGCAGUGAAACCACCGCGGGGCGACGGAAGUCCCCGUUGAAGGGUGUAGGUGUUGAGGAGAGCAGGCAAAUCCACUCUCCGAGCUGAACCUGAUAGUACGGAGUCCUCCUCGGAGGAAUCUGAUAGUGUGGGUAAUCAUACUCCCGAGAAAAUCCGCUAAGCUUAACCCAUGCGGCACCCGUACCGCAAACGGACACACGUGGUCGGGUAGAACAUACUAAGGCGUUGAGAGAUUCAUGGUUAAGGAACUAGGCAAAUUGACCCUGUAACUUCGGGAUAAAGGGUCCUCGUGAUGAGCGAGGCGCAGAGAAUAGGUCCAGGCAACUGUUUAACAAAAACACAGGGCUGUGCAAACUCGAAAGAUGACGUAUACAGCCUGACACCUGCCCGGUGCCGGAAGGUUAAGAGGAGAUGUCACUAGCAAUAGGAAGCAUUGAAUUGAAGCCCCGGUAAACGGCGGCCGUAACUAUAACGGUCCUAAGGUAGCGAAAUUCCUUGUCGGGU